GCGGGGUUGGUGUAGUGGCUAUCACAUCUGCUUUACACGCAGAAGGCCGCGGGUUCGAUCCCCGCACCCCGUA
rfam:Eimeria acervulina, Houghton, WGS project CBTS01000000 data, contig: Eah_contig249_2